rnacentral:rRNA from 1 species
GAUGAACGCUAGCUACAGGCUUAACACAUGCAAGUCGAGGGGCAGCAUUAAAGUUUGCUUGCAAACUUUAGAUGGCGACCGGCGCACGGGUGAGUAACACGUAUCCAACCUGCCGAUAACUCGGGGAUAGCCUUUCGAAAGAAAGAUUAAUACCCGAUAGCAUAAUGAUUCCGCAUGGUUUCAUUAUUAAAGGAUUCCGGUAAAGGAUGGGGAUGCGUUCCAUUAGGUUGUUGGUGAGGUAACGGCUCACCAAGCCUUCGAUGGAUAGGGGUUCUGAGAGGAAGGUCCCCCACAUUGGAACUGAGACACGGUCCAA